UUAGCAUAUCAUUAAUGGCAGAAUUUAAAUAGCUCUGAGAUACUCUGAAAGCCAUCAUCUCUUGAAAGAAGCUCUCUUGUUCCAGUCACCUGUCUUAGGAGCCUAGAACCAUGAAGCUCUAUCUUUUAGCCUUUCUUAUGGCUCUUCUGGUUGUCCUGGCCGGAGCUGACUCUUCAUCAGAAGAGGAGCACCAUGGCAAGCACCAUCACAAGAAGCCACUUUCUGAAGGAUAUCCUGAAAAUGAUGAAUAUCCUCCAUUUCGUCAACAACCUCCAAUUCCCAAUUCACCAAAUGCACAGCAAGGAGGAUAUCAAUAAUCACAGGUUUGCCUGGAAGACUGACUUGAUCUUUCCAUAUGAUGAAUCUCCAAGUCUACAAAUUCAUCAAUCUCUCCAUCUGCCUACUUACCAGCCUCUAUUAUUGAGCAUUAGUUGGUAGCUCCAAGCUUGUUAGAUUAACAUGAAUCAUUCUUCCAAAGGACUAAUGCUCUUCUUUACACCCUCCAUAAAAUAAAUUCAGCUCAGAGCAUA